UACGUAGGGGGCAAGCGUUGUCCGGAUUUAUUGGGCGUAAAGAGCGUGUAGGCGGCCAUACAGGUCAGCUGUGAAAACUCGAGGCUCAACCUCGAGACGUCGGCUGAAACCGUAUGGCUAGAGUCCGGAAGAGGAGAGUGGAAUUCCCGGUGUAGCGGUGAAAUGCGCAGAUAUCGGGAAGAACACCUAUGGCGAAGGCAGCUCUCUGGGACGGUACUGACGCUGAGACGCGAAAGCGUGGGGAGCGAACAGG
rnacentral:rRNA from 1 species